UACAGAGGGUGCAAGCGUUAAUCGGAAUUACUGGGCGUAAAGCGCGCGUAGGUGGUUCGUUAAGUUGGAUGUGAAAUCCCCGGGCUCAACCUGGGAAUGGCGAUGGAUACUGGACAGCUAGAGUGUGUCAGAGGAUGGUGGAAUUCCCGGUGUAGCGGUGAAAUGCGUAGAUAUCGGAAGGAACAUCAGUGGCGAAAGCGACUUCCUGGACCAGUACCGACGUUCAGGCACGAAAGCGUGGGGAUCAAACAGG
rnacentral:rRNA from 1 species